UGGAGCUGCUAGUCUCGUCGAACCUCCUUUUCGACUUGAUUUCUCUGUUUCGUGCGUUUGUUUCUGAACUGCUCAUCUGAAACCAAGAAGAAAAGAAAGUUAGCAUUGUCGAUAAAAGGUAGUAUCGAUCGAUGGGUUAUACUGAACAUCGAUCGAUAUUGUCGUGUCGGAACAAUCGAACAAGAGAGCAUCGGUCGAUGCGAACGAGUUCAUAUCGACCGAUGUCGAAUCGCGAAACCUGCAACAUCACUCUAUUCCAAAUCGCGUUUAUACGAAUUAAAAGACAUAGAAAUCACAAACCGAACUCUAGAUAAGCAAUAUGAACUACAAAAACUUCUCUCAAUCACACCAAAUCAAGCUUUCUAGUCCAACUCAAAACGAAAACCCUAAUGUUUCGAAAUAUUGAAAAUUUCGAGUGCAUACCUUGUAUGUUGAUUUUGGGAGUGGAUUUAACAGUUACAGAGUGAAAGAUCGAGUGGAUUUAGGUGAAAAACGGACGAAAUCCGUCAAGAAUCGAGAGAAAAAAGGGUUGUUUUUGUUUUCGGUUUCAGUUGCGAAUGAGGAAGAGGAAUGGGUCGAUAUCGAGUGAAAUAAGUGUUUUAACCGUCGAUAUGCCCGCAUCGAUCGAUGGCAGUGAUGCCUCGUCGAUCGAUGUCCUCUUCAAAGACAAAUCCUAAUUUCUAAAUCUCCUAAAUAAUGCUAAUAAUAAGAAGAAAUAUGGAAAUUACUAUUAAAUAUAGAAAUUACUAUUAUAUUGUAUUAUUAAUUUAAUUAAUUUUUUUUUUUUUUAUAAAAUGGGUUGCCUCCCAUUCAGCGCUUAAUUUUUAAGUCUUUAGCUCGACUACCUGAUUAAGCUAAUUAUCAGGUUCAUACAACACCAUGGGCGCUUUUGCUGGUGGUUUUGCCCAAUAAUGCUUAACUCGUUGGCCGUUCACUGUAAAUUCCUGGCCUUUAUCAUUUUGUAAAGUGAUAGCUCCGGAAGGUUGAACGUUUGUUACG
rnacentral:lncRNA from 1 species